rnacentral:tRNA from 1 species
GGCCGACUAGCUCAGUUGGUUAGAGCGUGGUGCUAAUAUGAAGUCAUUAUUUUAUUACGCCAAGGUCGUCGGUUCGACCCCGGCGUUGGCCA